ACGUAGGGGGCGAGCGUUAACCGGAAUUACUGGGCGUAAAGAGUGCGCAGGCGGUUUUGUAAGAGUGGGGUGAAAGGCAAGAGCUUAACUAGGGUAAUCCUUGCGGACGGGAAGACUUGAGUGCAGGAGAGGAAAGUGGAAUUCCUAGUGUAGCGGUGAAAUGCGUAGAUAUGAGGAGGAACACCAGUGGCGAAGGCGGCCUCCUGGACUGAUACUGACGCUCAUGCACGAAAGCGUGGGUAGCAAACAG
rnacentral:rRNA from 1 species